GUGGGGAAUAUUGGACAAUGGGCGCAAGCCUGAUCCAGCCAUGCCGCGUGAGUGAUGAAGGCCUUAGGGUUGUAAAGCUCUUUCAGUGGGGACGAUAAUGACGGUACCCACAGAAGAAGCCCCGGCUAACUUCGUGCCAGCAGCCGCGGUAAUACGAAGGGGGCUCGCGUUGUUCGGAUUUACUGGGCGUAAAGCGCACGUAGGCGGAUCGUUAAGCCGGGGGUGAAAUCCUGGACAUCAACUCCAGAACUGCCUUCGAUACUGGCGAUCUUGAGUCCGGAAGAGGUGAGUGGAACACCUAGUGUGGAGGUGGAAUUCGUAGAUAGUAGGAAGAACACCAGGAGCGAAGGCGGCUCACUGGUCCGGUACUGACGCUGAGGUGCGAAAGCGUGGGGAGCAAACAGGAUUAGAAACCCUGGUAGUCC
rnacentral:rRNA from 1 species